rnacentral:tRNA from 1 species
GGGCCGGUGGCGGAAUGGCAUACGCUGCGGACUUAAAAUCCGCUGGGAGCAAUCCCUUGAGGGUUCGACCCCCUCCCGGCCCA